GACGAACGCUGGCGGCGUGCUUAACACAUGCAAGUCGAACGAAGAGCGAUGGAAGCUUGCUUCUAUCAAUCUUAGUGGCGAACGGGUGAGUAACGCGUAAUCAACCUGCCCUUCAGAGGGGGACAACAGUUGGAAACGACUGCUAAUACCGCAUACGAUCCAAUCUCGGCAUCGAGACUGGAUGAAAGGUGGCCUCUAUUUAUAAGCUAUCACUGAAGGAGGGGAUUGCAUCUGAUUAGCUAGUUGGAGGGGUAAAGGCCCACCAAGGCGAUGAUCAGUAGCCGGUCUGAGAGGAUGAACGGCCACAUUGGGACUGAGACACGGCCCAGACUCCUACGGGAGGCAGCAGUGGGGAAUCUUCCGCAAUGGACGAAAGUCUGACGGAGCAACGCCGCGUGAGUGAUGACGGCCUUCGGGUUGUAAAGCUCUGUUAAUCGGGACGAAUGGUUCUUGUGCGAAUAGUGCGAGGAUUUGACGGUACCGGAAUA
rnacentral:rRNA from 1 species